rnacentral:rRNA from 1 species
ACCAGAAGUAGGUAGUCUAACCGCCAACGGAGGGACGGCGUUACCACGGUCGGGAGUCAUGACUGGGUG